CACCCCCGUGCAGAAUAUCCCCAAGGACCCCAACUCGAAGCCGAUUCCACAACCCUAACCAUUGGCUGCCGUCGCCGCCCUCGUGCUCGAUCCACAGUCCUGCCGCCGGCCUCACACUCCACCCCGUCGUCAAGCCGUCGUGUCGGAGCUCGCAUUCCCUCGCCCCCGAGCUCCACCCCGACAUCCACCCGUCCUUGCACUCCACCCCUUCCCCCCGAGCUCCAUCUCGAGACCGAGCCGCCGUCCUCGAGAUCCACAUACAACCGCCGUCCUCGGGCGCCCCCUCGACAUCCAGCCGUCGUCCUCGCCAAUCCCGCCCUGCUGCUGCCGGGGCCCCAUUUACGGGCUCCCGCCGUUGCCGCACCUGCUGUUGUCGGGCCUCCAUCUCUGGGCUCCCGCUGCUACCGGUCCUGCUGCAAUCGGACCUGCCGCUGCUGGGGAUCCAUCCCCUUCGAGCUGGGCCCCUCUCGAAGCCAGCCGUCGCCAUGCCCUGAGUGCCAUACAGGUGGAUAGUUCUUCAACAAAUGAUAUCUGAACUUCAAACUGGUAUCAUAAAAAAAAUUUGCUUCGGUGUUCUGAAGUUUCUCGAUGAAGUGUAAUAUAUUUGACCAUUAGCGGCACCCUUCACCAUUAGGCAUAGAUGUACCAAUGAUGUUAUUUCUUGAAGCCAAUUUGAAAUUUUGUAUCUCUUGUGAGUAACAAGUAAACUGCUCAGGUUGUUCUUAUUUGUAUAUCUUGGAAUUGUUUCCUCUUUGAUGUAUUGGAAGCGUUGUUAGUCCAAAAUUAAUCAGUGUAAUUCAGUUUGGUUCAGUUCAGGACAUAGUAAGUAUGCUUUAGAACAAUUAAUCAAAAUUAUCUGUUACAAAGAACAUGUCAGGCUUGUGUUUUCAAUCUCCCUGUACUUCUAUGGUUCCAAGUCUUCUCCUAUAGCUUUAUUGUCUUAACUGCUUGUAGAACUGUACUGCAAGUUAGUUUGUUAUUGAAGAAAAAAUCAUUUAUUAUGUUGUUGUCAGUUUGGACUUAAUUUUGCGAUUGCUGAAGGCAAGGAAAAGAGAUAGUGCAGAAGGAGCUUCAGCAGGCAUGAUGGUUCGACAACCACAAUGUCGCAAGGCCAUCCCCAUUGCCCGGCAACACUAUUUCAGAUAAAAUCAGAAUAUUAUUUUUGGAUAAGCUGGAAGGGAGGUCAUUAUCUACAACUGCUUACCAUCUGCUAUUUUAUCAAACUAAUAAACAAUGGUUCAAAUGACUAGUGUUGCUAGCCGGGAACCACGACCACCAGCAUGCAAUAUGAGCAAUGGGUAGAGAACGGAUGGCUACCUCGCUGGGAACCAUGGUCGCGCACGUGCAGCAGAAAACGAAUGGUGGAUGGAAAGGCUACGUCACCGGGAACCAGGACCGCGACUUGUAGUAGGCAACUACUAGGCACUUAGCCAACUGGUGCACAUGGACGUGAUGACUUUGCAGUGUUUAUGGAUCAACCAACCUGUAAUCAUGGAUCUUAUGUGUCUUCUAGACAAUUUGAUGUUUCAAGUAUUUUGGAGCUUGCACUCUGUGCAUGUGGAUGCAUACUUGUGUGUUCUGGACCAUCUAGCUGAAGUCUCUCGUACCAGCAAAUAGUGCUCAUCCUUUUGUGACUUGUGUGUUCUGGGUGAUUGUUAAGAUGGUCAAACUAUGCUUUGUCAAGAUUUGAUGUGUUUGUCAACUUGCGUUCAAUGUAUAUGCAUGUUUGUGAACAUAUUUUCAUUGUUAUACAGUAUGUGUUAAUCUUGAA